rnacentral:rRNA from 1 species
AUUGAACGCUGGCGGCAGGCCUAACACAUGCAAUUCGAACGAGUGGCGGACGGGUGAGUAAUGUCUGGGAAACUGCCUGAUGGAGGGGGAUAACUACUGGAACCGGUAGCUAAUACCGCAUACCAUCGGAUGUGCCCAGAUGGGAUUAGCUAGUUGGGGGGGUAACGGCUCACCUAGGCGACGAUCCCUAGCUGUGCUGAUAGGAUGACCAGCAACACUGGAACUGAGACACGGUCCAGACUCCUACGGGAGGCAGCAGUGGGGAAUAUUGCACAAUGGGCGCAAGCCUGAUGCAGCCAUGCCGCGUGUAUGAAGAAGGCCGUCGGGUUGUAAAGGACUUUCAGCGGGGAGGCGUUACCCGAAGAAGAAGAACCGGCUAACUCCGUGCCAGCAGCAGCGGUAAUAC